UGGGCUUGAGCGUUGACCAAGGGAUGCCGGAUGCGCAGUUUAUCACGGCGUCGUACUUCGUUCCGGAGGGGCUCUCCAAGGCGGCGCCGCCGGGGGACUUGUAGUCCAGCACCUCGUCGGCGCCCAGAUUCUUCACCAGCUCCAGGUUCCUCUCGCCGCAGGUGGCGGUGACGUGGACGCCGCCGGCGAGCUUAAGGAGCUGGACGGCGUAGUGGCCGACGCCGCCGGAGGCGGCGGUGACCAGAACGUUGACCGGCUUGUCCCCGCCGUCGAGGUUGAUACCGACGCUGCGGAGGCUGUGGAGGGCGGUGAGGCCGGCCAUGGGGAUGCCGGAGCCUUCCGCCGCCGAGAUUCCGGCGGGUCGGUGGACGGUGAGCUUCUCCUCCGCCGCCACGUACUCGGCGAGGCCGCCGGCCGCCUGCUCACAGAUCAUUUUGUUCACAGAAAGCACAGCGAAUUUUGACGACGGGGAUUGACCCCUGAUUGAGAGGGAUUUUGAGGAUUCUUGACGGAUUUUUGGACACAAAAUCAAUCAAUCUAUUUUAUCGUUCUUCCCUUUUUUUUUGAAAAAAAAAUAUUUUUCACUCGCAGGAUAUGAAUUCGGAGAUUUUCACUUGGGAAGAAAGAUGGGGGCAUUGAGUUGGGAAAAAAAAACCCGACAUUAUAAAUAGUAUGCAUUUCUAUUUUAUUUUAUUUUAUAAUAUUAUUUGGUGUUCAUUCUCUCAGAGAUAAUUGCUUAAAAAGAGGAGGUGGGGGGGUUCAAGCUGUAUGGUGAUGAACUUACCAUAAAAUGAAGCAAGGCUAUGACCUUGUCACCUGCUUUGAAAGAGGUCACCCCAGGGUCAACUUCCACGACCUCUCCGGCCACACAGGUCCCUAUUUCGUAGGAAAACAGCAAGAUCAAACCUCUUUUAUAAGGUAGAAUGAAACUAGCGUUGACUUUAUGAUAUUCAGGGGGGAUAUGUCAAAUUUAGCCACUUUUGUCUGGGUUUCGAGGGAAGAUCAAAUGAGACCCAAGAUUUUAUUUCGAGUGAGCAUAAAUAAGGAUUAGAAGAUAAGAAAACCCAUCUGAGCUUCUAAUUUUCAUUGGAAAUUCGUCCAGGUUUUCAGUGAAGAUAAAUAAUGAGAAUACGAGAAGAAUCGAACCCAUCUAGGUAGGGGAUCAUAAUUUCAUCGGGAAAUGGCCGUAUUUGACCAAUUUUGGCAAAAAAUGAUAGAGUAAAAGGAGCUCAUGAUCUUCGUGAGGGAACAAUCAGAUGAGCUUAUUUUAACCAGAAGAAACCAAUUUUGGCAUGGAUUUCAACGACGAAUAAAUAGAUAAACAAACAAGAAGCCCACAUCAAGCUUCUGAUUCACGAAAAAGCUCUUGGAUUUUGAGAAAUACUGCAAAAUAGUAAUAAUAAUCGAAGCAAUUAUCACCUGGCGUGAAGGGAAAUUUCGGUGGAAGAAAGGGGCGCAGCAUCCCCUUCUGAAUCUUCCAGUCGGCGGGAUUCAAGCUCGUCGCUUCCACUUUCAGCAGGAGUUGACCUUUCUUCGGAGAAGGGAUUGGAACCUCCACGAGCUGCCGCGUGAUCCCAUAAAUAGGAGCCGGGCAAGUUAAUCGAAGCAGUUCCGGUGGACUUAACCAAAAUUCGAGGGCUCAUCGCCAUCCCUCCAGACGGGGGACGACAAAGGGAACAAAGAAGAGCUAGCCAGGGCGAGCUUGAAGCCAGUUUACCUUGAGCGCCGCCCCUCCGCCGCCGUAGCGAUCAUACUGAACCGCGCGCAUGAGUUUGGCGGCCAUUGGGAGGGAUCCCCCCUUGGCUACGACGAAGAGAGGGGGAAGGUUGCAGCCUGGAGUUGCAGGAGUUGACCUUUCUUCGAGCCAACACGGAUGGCGGCGCCGUCGGUAUCGUCGUCCGUUAUAUAAUGUCGCCGCCGGGGGAAUCGACGACGGCAGCCGUGUGGAAGGAGGGCCGGUGACCGUGGAGGGGCAGUUUAGAACGAUGCCUCUGGAAGAUGCUCCUCAGGCCCCCGGAUUGCUUAUUUAACCUUCCCAGAUUGGUAAGAAGAGGCGACUUUCAGAUGAAACAAACAGACCAUCUUGGGCUGGCCCAUCUUAUCGGGGCAUUAUCUUCGUUCCCACAGAAAUUCAAAAGUCAACGCUAGCGCCGACGGAGAGCUUACUAGAUUAUUCGAUGACAGAUAGCCGUCGGAUGGAGAGUUCCUUCCCAUUUAUAGAAGGUGAUUGAGUAGUUUGACUCGGCCCCUCAGGGCCCCAUCUCCACGAUGAUCUUCCCCGUGGCGUGGCCGUCGAUGCUCUUGGCCCAGGCCGCCUCCGCCUGGCUCAGAGGAUGCCUCGAGUCAACGACCGUCUUCAGCUUCCCUUCCUUCACCAAGCUCACUAGAAACUCCAGGUCCUCCUUGUUGGCGGCCCGGAAGAGGGGCACCAGCUGCUUCUUGGAGAAGGUGAUCUUCUUGACGGCGGCGCUGAGGUAGGUGGCGGGGGUCGGGGUGAUUUCGAUCACCUUCCCCUUCUUCGACAGGGUGGGCUCGAACGUUGACCAAGGGAUCCUGGUGGCGCAAUGGAUCACGACGUCAUACUUCUUCCCAGAGGCGCUCUCCAAGGCGGCGCCGCCAGGGGUCUUGUAGUCCAGCACCUCGUCGGCGCCCAGAUUCUUCACCAGCUCCAGGUUCCUCGCUCCGCAGGUGGCGGUGACGUGGCAAUUGCCUAGCUUUGCCAGCUGGACCACGUACAUGCCCACCCCGCCGGAGGCGGCAGUGACCAGGAUGUUGGCGGCGUUCUCGCCGCCGCCGCCGCGGCCAAAGCUGACCCCGGCGGCCUUCAGGCUCUGGAAGGCGGUGAGCCCCGCUACCGGCAGGCUCGCUCCGUCGGCGGCAGACACCUCCGCCGGCCUCUUCACCGUUUUGCUCGCUGAUGCCACCGCAUAUUCAGCGAGCCCUCCCCCUCCCUGACCAAAAAAGCCAUCAUUAAUUAAUUUAAUUAUUUAUCAGCAAGAAAAUUUAGAAUAAUUGAUUUACACAUAUCUCAAUUGAUUGACUAAAAUAAGAGGCAAUAAUAUAAUGCGACGUGAGAGCUCACCAGGACGGAGAGCAUCGACACCACUUUGUCACCGGCCCUGAGAGAGUCAACGUUAGAGCCCACUUCAACCACCUCGCCUGCCAUGUCAGUGACUGCAACAUAGGAAAACCGGAUGAGUCAUCAGGACCUAACCCCGUGGAAUGAUCUACUAUGAAAUUAAUUUGAAAAAAAUGGCGUAAAAUUCCGUCUGGAAGCAGUAACAGCAGAAGUGGUCUGAGAUAUGAAUCAUCGAAAAUAAUCUGUAAAUAAAUAUUCCACAGAAAUAAAAGCGCAUAUAGGAAAAAAAAACUAGAAAAAAUUGCCGUUAUACCCGUUAUUAUGAAUAUGAUCAUGCAUUUGCAUAAAUUAAGCCUUAUAAUGUCAUUAAUUGCCUCGGUAAAAUUCUUUAAAGGUAUCAGAGCAACUGCAGAAUAGAAGACAGAGACAAGCAAGAGAAAAUAGAGUGCUCACAUUUAUCUCUUGCUGUUAACAUUUUUGAGGGGGAAGAGAGAGAUCAAACUGAUAAGAACAUAACCCAAUAAGAAAGUCAACGCGAGUUUCCAUGCAGAGUAUUGGUUUCCAAUCAACACAUGAUAGAGCAGUUCCAAGUUUUGAUAGUCAACGCUUUGCUCUAUAUAAUGCUUGAACUCACGAGCAUUAUAACUUCUAGAAAAAAUACCUGAAUAAUUAAUCUCGUGCAAAAAAAUAUACACAGAGAAUUGUCAAAUCAACAAAAUGGAAAGAUCAAGCAUAAAGUGAUGAAAAGUAAUGAUCCAGAGUCAACGCCACCAAAUAAAGCUAAUCCGAGCAGCAUCAGCGAUAGAAGGCUCGAACCACUUGAGUGGAAUACCUGGCACGAAUGGAAAUUUUAGUGGAAGAAAUGGGCGUAUCAAACCAUUCUGGAUCUUCCAGUCAACGGGGUUUAUACUAGAAGCUUCCAACUUCAGCAAGACCUCGUCUUUCUUUGGUGAAGGAAUGGGAACUUCAACAUGCUACAUUAAGAAUAUGUCAAGAAAUGACUAUUCAAGGAAGCUAAAGAGCGAAAAAUAAUUAUUAAAUAAUGCACCGAAGAUUGGAAAAAAUAUUUUUCCUGAAACAUUUCGAAAAUCACUCUGCAUCCAGGUGUGUUCAAUAAAUCUAUCACCACAUGUAUCGAGCAUCAGAGCUGCUAAGAACAACAAAUGCGUAUCAUGAACCAUUCUUUAAAAUAAAUUAAUCAAAAAUAACCUCGCGACAUUCAAUUUGAAAUAGUGCACCGAAAGUAGAAAUUAUGAGCUCAUUCCCAGGAAAACUUGACAUAUUUUGCCCUUCAUUUAAAAUUUUCACUGCAAAAAUCAGUUCCCUCACUCAAAAUUGAAAAAAGCGACAACGACAAAAGUUCUACAGUAAUUGCUGUAAGUUAACUCUGAGGGGCAGACAAACAGGCAUAGUCAUGAAAAUCUAGUCGAUCAAGCGCCAAGCACUCGCAACGUCGAAUUCCUAACUCGGCCCUCUUCAAACCCCUCUUCGACUCAUCGGAUCAUGCACACACAGACACAUCUUAAUCCAUUGUAAAACAUAGAAAGUGAGCACGCCAAAGCACGGAGGACGAUAAAUCCGCAGGCCUCGGACCGCAGCCUCUCUCCUCUAAACGCAGGACUUACCUUGAGGGCGGCGGCACCGCCGCCGUAAGAGCCGUACUGGACGGCGUGCAUGAGCUUCCCCGCCGGAGCGGCCAUGGCGGAAAAGGGCGGAGGAGGGCGCUCCGACGGGGAGAACUGCGAGCUUCCUGCGGAUCAAGCAGAGUGAGGACGCGAAGAAGCGAGAGCGCACAAGUCGUCGUAUUCCCCGUCCGUCGCAGAGAGGUGGCGGAAGCGGGAGGGAGGUGGAGCGCCUUGUGGAUCCCGUCACUGGUCACCAGUGCCGUCUCUGCCGAACGCGGCCCUCUCUUUCUGGGCCCCACUGAAAUGGACCCGACUAUGGAACACGGGCUGCUCAUAUUGAGCCGAUUCUCCCCUUCGGUGACACGGUUAUUAAAAAUAGACCCUAUCAAAAAUUUAAUUUUCAAUGGGUCGCCUGUUCCAUUUCGAGUGAGGAAGAGCACCCGGUCCGAAGUAAGAGGGCCGGGCCUGGCUGAGGGCAUUAAACCAUUUAUAAUAGUAAUUUGGGUUUUACGUAAAAAUGUAUUUUCUCUGCCCGUAAGCAGGUCUGGUGAACGUUGUGGCUGUGCCGGUGGCCGGACGUGGCCGAGCUCGAUUCAAUGUGAUGCCAGCCUAUUUUUUUCAUAAAUAGAUAAUGAUAGUUUUCACACCAGAUUUGGAAAUUAAUGAUCAUAAUUCUCACAUUAUAUAUUUUUUUAAUACAAGAUUCAUAACUUGGUUCAUACAAAUUAAUGUAAAUAAUGUCGUUUAGACUAGUCAAUAAAGUCGUGGCCUUUCUAGUAGGACCCCCUCCGGAUCAUCUCUUCCUCAUGGAAGAUUCCGAUUCCAAAAAACAAAGACGAUAAAAUAAAUAAUGUCAAUGAUUUGAUGCAGAUUAAAUAAAAAUAAAACGAAAGAUGGAUUUCUUUAUUUUGGCAAUUAUAUUUAUUUAGAAUAUCUUUAAAACAUUCGAAUUGAUUAGGACCCACAAAAGAACAUAACCAGGAUAUUAUAUACCGUCAUAGUAUCGAUACAUUAAAUAUUACAUUUUUCAAGAUAAGUAGUUCGAUGAGAUUCUUCCCACUCAAAAGCAGCAGAUGGAGCAGCUCAAUGGGGGUGAGCAGGACGUUGACUUGGCCUCUAUGGGUCUGUCUCCACGACGAUCUUCCCCGUGGCGUGGCCGUCGAUGCUCCUCGCCCAGGCCGCCUCCGCCUGGCUCAGAGGAUGCCUCGAGUCAACGAUCGUCUUCAGCUUCCCUUCCUUCACCAGGCCCACCAAAAACUCCAGCUCCUCCCGCUUGGGGAACACGAGGAGGGGCACCAGCUGCUUCUUGGAGAAGGUGAGCUUCUUGAUGGCGGCGGUGAGGAAGGCGGUGGCGUUGGGGGUGAUGUCGAUCACCUUCCCACUUUCCGCCAGUGUGGGCUCGAACGUUGACCAGGGGAUCCCGGUGGCGCAGUGGAUCACGGCGUCGUACUUCUUCCCGGAGGGGCUCUCCAAGGCGGCGCCGCCAGGGGUCUUGUAGUCCAGAACCUCGUCGGCGCCCAGAUUCUUCACCAGCUCCAGGUUCCUCGCUCCGCAGGUGGCGGUGACGUGGCAAUUGCCCAGCUUUGCCAGCUGGACAGCAUAGAGGCCCACCCCGCCGGAGGCGGCAGUGACCAGGAUGUUGGCGGCUUUCUCGCCGCCACUGCUGCCAAAGCUGAUCCCGGCGGACUUCAGGGUCUGGAGGGC
rnacentral:lncRNA from 1 species